GAUGAAGAACGUAGCGAAAUGCAAUAAGUAAUGUGAAUUGCAGAAUUCCGUGAAUCAUCGAAUCUUUGAACGCACAUUGCGCCCCCUGGUAUUCCGGGGGGCAUGCCUGUCCGAGCGUCAUUGCAACCUUCAAGCGCGGCUUGUGUGUUGGGUCUCGUCCCCCGUGGACGGGCCCGAAAGGCAGUGGCGGCGUCCCGACAUGGUGCCCGAGCGUAUGGGAAUCCUCUUCCGCUCGAAUCGGCCCAUGCGGCGCUGGUCGUAACCAAAUUUUUUACCGGUUGACCUCGGAUCAGGUAGGGAUACCCGCUGAACUUAAGCAUAUCAAUAAGCGGAGGA
rnacentral:misc_RNA from 1 species